rnacentral:rRNA from 1 species
UACGGAGGGUGCGAGCGUUGUCCGGAAUCACUGGGCGUAAAGGGCGCGUAGGUGGCUGCUUAAGCGUGUGGUGAAAGCUCAGGGCUCAACCCUGAGUCGGCCAUGCGAACUGGGCAGCUGGAGCACUGUAGAGGCAGGUGGAAUUCCGGGUGUAGCGGUGGAAUGCGUAGAGAUCCGGAAGAACACCGGUGGCGAAGGCGGCCUGCUGGGCAGUUGCUGACACUGGGGCGCGACAGCGUGGGGAGCAAACAGG